GAUGAAGAACGCAGCGAAAUGCGAUAACUAAUGUGAAUUGCAGAAUUCAGUGAAUCAUCGAAUCUUUGAACGCACAUUGCGCCCGCCAGUAUUCUGGCGGGCAUGCCUGUUCGAGCGUCAUUACAACCCUCAGGCCCCCGGGCCUGGCGUUGGGGAUCGGCGGAGCCCCCCGUGGGCACACGCCGUCCCCCAAAUGCAGUGGCGGUCCCGCCGCAGCUUCCAUCGCGUAGUAGCUAACACCUCGCGACUGGAGAGCGGCGCGGCCACGCCGUAAAACACCCAACUCUUCUGAAGUUGACCUCGAAUCAGGUAGGAAUACCCGCUGAACUUAAGCAUAUCAAUAAGCGGAGGA
rnacentral:misc_RNA from 1 species